GGGUUGUGAGGUUAAGCGACUAAGCGUACACGGUGGAUGCCCUGGCAGUCAGAGGCGAUGAAGGACGUGCUAAUCUGCGAUAAGCGCCGGUAAGGUGAUAUGAACCGUUAUAACCGGCGAUUUCCGAAUGGGGAAACCCAGUGUGACUCGUCACACUAUCAUUAACUGAAUCCAUAGGUUAAUGAGGCGAACCGGGGGAACUGAAACAUCUAAGUACCCCGAGGAAAAGAAAUCAACCGAGAUUCCCCCAGUAGCGGCGAGCGAACGGGGAGGAGCCCAGAGCCUGAAUCAGCAUGUGUGUUAGUGGAAGCGUCUGGAAAGGCGCGCGAUACAGGGUGACAGCCCCGUACACAAAAGCGCAUGUGCUGUGAGCUCGAUGAGUAGGGCGGGACACGUGGUAUCCUGUCUGAAUAUGGGGGGACCAUCCUCCAAGGCUAAAUACUCCUGACUGACCGAUAGUGAACCAGUACCGUGAGGGAAAGGCGAAAAGAACCCCGGCGAGGGGAGUGAAAAAGAACCUGAAACCGUGUACGUACAAGCAGUGGGAGCACCCUGUGUGACUGCGUACCUUUUGUAUAAUGGGUCAGCGACUUAUAUUCUGUAGCAAGGUUAACCGUAUAGGGGAGCCGGAGGGAAACCGAGUCUUAAUUGGGCGUUAAGUUGCAGGGUAUAGACCCGAAACCCGGUGAUCUAGCCAUGGGCAGGUUGAAGGUUGGGUAACACUAACUGGAGGACCGAACCGACUAAUGUUGAAAAAUUAGCGGAUGACCUGUGGCUGGGGGUGAAAGGCCAAUCAAACCGGGAGAUAGCUGGUUCUCCCCGAAAGCUAUUUAGGUAGCGCCUCGUGAAUUCAUCUCCGGGGGUAGAGCACUGUUUCGGCUAGGGGGCCAUCCCGGCUUACCAACCCGAUGCAAACUGCGAAUACCGGAGAAUGUUAUCACGGGAGACACACGGCGGGUGCUAACGUCCGUCGUGAAGAGGGAAACAACCCAGACCGCCAGCUAAGGUCCCAAAGUCAUGGUUAAGUGGGAAACGAUGUGGGAAGGCCCAGACAGCCAGGAUGUUGGCUUAGAAGCAGCCAUCAUUUAAAGAAAGCGUAAUAGCUCACUGGUCGAGUCGGCCUGCGCGGAAGAUGUAACGGGGCUAAACCAUGCACCGAAGCUGCGGCAGCGAACGUAUCACCCAAGACAAUUUACGGAGUUACGAUUGACGGAGCGAAGCGACGUCAAAGCGUAUUAAAGUCGAGUUGGCUUAGGGAUACGUUCGUUGGGUAGGGGAGCGUUCUGUAAGCCUGUGAAGGUGUGUCGUGAGGCAUGCUGGAGGUAUCAGAAGUGCGAAUGCUGACAUAAGUAACGAUAAAGCGGGUGAAAAGCCCGCUCGCCGGAAGACCAAGGGUUCCUGUCCAACGUUAAUCGGGGCA
rnacentral:rRNA from 1 species